CACGUAGGGGGCAAGCGUUGUCCGGAUUUAUUGGGCGUAAAGAGCUCGUAGGCGGCUCAGUAAGUCGGGUGUGAAACCUCCAGGCUCAACCUGGAGACGCCACUCGAUACUGCUGUGGCUUGAGUCCGGUAGGGGAGCGUGGAAUUCCUGGUGUAGCGGUGAAAUGCGCAGAUAUCGGGAGGAACACCAAUGGCGAAGGCAGCUUGCUGGGACGGUACUGACGCUGAGACGCGAAAGCGUGGGGAGCAAACAGG
rnacentral:rRNA from 1 species